UGAAUAAGUGCAUAUCGUGGAUGCCUUGGCGAUUACAGGCGACGAAAGACGUUGUAGGCUGCGAUAAGCCUCGGGGAGCUGCCAAACAAGCUUUGAUCCGAGGAUUUCCGAAUGGGGAAACCCACCCGUAAGGGUAUCCCGUGCUGAAUACAUAGGCACGUGGAGGCGAACCCGGUGAACUGAAACAUCUAAGUAGCCGGAGGAAAAGAAAUCAACCGAGAUUCCCUGAGUAGCGGCGAGCGAAAGGGGACUAGCCCUUAAGCAACUUGUGUUUUAAGAGAACAGUCUGGGAAGGCUGGCCAUAGUGGGUGAUAGCCCCG
rnacentral:rRNA from 1 species